rnacentral:rRNA from 1 species
GCUCAGGACGAACGCUGGCGGCGCGCCUAACACAUGCAAGUCGAACGAGAGAGAGGGAGCUUGCUUCCUCAAUCGAGUGGCGAACGGGUGAGUAACGCGUGAGGAACCUGCCUCAAAGAGGGGGACAACAGUUGGAAACGACUGCUAAUACCGCAUAAGCCCACAGCUCGGCAUCGAGCAGAGGGAAAAGGAGCAAUCCGCUUUGAGAUGGCCUCGCGUCCGAUUAGCUAGUUGGUGAGGUAAUGGCCCACCAAGGCGACGAUCGGUAGCCGGACUGAGAGGUUGAACGGCCACAUUGGGACUGAGACACGGCCCAGACUCCUACGGGAGGCAGCAGUGGGGAAUAUUGCACAAUGGGGGAAACCCUGAUGCAGCGACGCCGCGUGGAGGAAGAAGGUCUUCGGAUUGUAAACUCCUGUUGUUGAGGAAGAUAAUGACGGUACUCAACAAGGAAGUGAUGGCUAACUACGUGCCAGCAGCCGCGGUAAAACGUAGGUCACAAGCGUUGUCCGGAAUUACUGGGUGUAAAGGGAGCGCAGGCGGGAAGACAAGUUGGAAGUGAAAUCUAUGGGCUCAACCCAUAAACUGCUUUCAAAACUGUUUUUCUUGAGUAGUGCAGAGGUAGGCGGAAUUCCCGGUGUAGCGGUGGAAUGCGUAGAUAUCGGGAGGAACACCAGUGGCGAAGGCGGCCUACUGGGCACCAACUGACGCUGAGGCUCGAAAGUGUGGGUAGCAAACAGGAUUAGAUACCCUGGUAGUCCACCCCGUAAACGAUGAUUACUAGGUGUUGGAGGAUUGACCCCUUCAGUGCCGCAGUUAACACAAUAAGUAAUCCACCUGGGGAGUACGACCGCAAGGUUGAAACUCAAAGGAAUUGACGGGGGCCCGCACAAGCAGUGGAGUAUGUGGUUUAAUUCGACGCAACGCGAAGAACCUUACCAAGUCUUGACAUCCUGCGACGAUGCUGGAAACAGUAUUUUCCUUCGGGACGCAGAGACAGGUGGUGCAUGGUUGUCGUCAGCUCGUGUCGUGAGAUGUUGGGUUAAGUCCCGCAACGAGCGCAACCCUUACUGUCAGUUACUACGCAAGAGGACUCUGGCAGGACUGCCGUUGACAAAACGGAGGAAGGUGGGGAUGACGUCAAAUCAUCAUGCCCCUUAUGCUUAGGGCUACACACGUGCUACAAUGGGUGGUACAGAGGGCAGCCAAGUCGUGAGGCGGAGCUAAUCCCUUAAAGCCAUUCUCAGUUCGGAUUGUAGGCUGAAACUCGCCUACAUGAAGCUGGAGUUACUAGUAAUCGCAGAUCAGAAUGCUGCGGUGAAUGCGUUCCCGGGUCUUGUACUCACCGCCCGUCA